CAGCAGCCACGGUAAUACAGAGGGUGCGAGCGUUAAUCGGAUUUACUGGGCGUAAAGCGUGCGUAGGCGGCUUUUUAAGUCGGAUGUGAAAUCCCUGAGCUUAACUUAGGAAUUGCAUUCGAUACUGGGAAGCUAGAGUAUGGGAGAGGAUGGUAGAAUUCCAGGUGUAGCGGUGAAAUGCGUAGAGAUCUGGAGGAAUACCGAUGGCGAAGGCAGCCAUCUGGCCUAAUACUGACGCUGAGGUACGAAAGCAUGGGGAGCAAACAGGAUUAGAGACCCCUGUAGUCCCUGUCUCUUAUAA
rnacentral:rRNA from 1 species